rnacentral:sRNA from 1 species
AUCGCCGGGCCAGUGCGGGAGCCGGAGCGGAGCCGGGGCCGGAGCGGGCGGAAUGGAGCCCCUGCGCGCGCCCGCGCUGCGCCGUCUGCUGCCGCCGCUGCUGCUCCUGCUGCUGUCACUGCCCCCCCGCGCCCGGGCCAAGUACGUGCGGGGCAACCUCAGUUCCAAGGAGGACUGGGUGUUCCUGACAAGAUUUUGUUUCCUCUCGGAUUACGGCCGACUGGACUUCCGUUUCCGCUACCCUGAGGCCAAGUGCUGUCAGAAUAUCCUCCUCUAUUUUGACGACCCAUCCCAGUGGCCAGCCGUGUACAAGGCAGGGGACAAGGACUGCCUGGCCAAGGAGUCAGUGAUCCGGCCGGAGAACAACCAGGUCAUCAACCUCACCACCCAGUAUGCCUGGUCCGGCUGUCAGGUGGUAUCAGAGGAGGGAACCCGCUACCUGAGCUGCUCCAGUGGCCGCAGCUUCCGCUCAGUGCGUGAACGGUGGUGGUAUAUUGCGCUCAGCAAGUGUGGGGUAAGGGGCUGGGGUGGCCACCUGGACCACCUUCUCUUUGCUUU